AAUCCAUGAUUUGGGCACUUCCUGGGCAUAGAUUUGAAUCUAUCCCAGGAUUCGCAAAGACUUUCCCCAGCAGGUUGAACAAAUGUGGAUGUUGUUGUUUUGAGAUC
rfam:Lupinus angustifolius cultivar Tanjil contig_28870, whole genome shotgun sequence.